ACGUAGGUGGCAAGCGUUGUCCGAUUUAUUGGGCGUAAAGCGAGCGCAGGCGGUUCCUUAAGUCUGAUGUGAAAGCCCCCGGCUCAACCGGGGAGGGUCAUUGGAAACUGGGGAACUUGAGUGCAGAAGAGGAGAGUGGAAUUCCAUGUGUAGCGGUGAAAUGCGUAGAUAUAUGGAGGAACACCAGUGGCGAAGGCGACUCUCUGGUCUGUAACUGACGCUGAGGCUCGAAAGCGUGGGUAGCAAACAGGAUUAGAAACCCCAGU
rnacentral:rRNA from 1 species